rnacentral:rRNA from 1 species
UACGUAGGUGGCAAGCGUUAUCCGGUUUUAUUGGGUUUAAAGGGUGCGUAGGCGGUUUGAUAAGUUAGAGGUGAAAUGUCGGGGCUCAACCCCGAAACUGCCUCUAAUACUGUUGGACUAGAGAAUAGUUGCGGUAGGCGGAAUGUAUGGUGUAGCGGUGAAAUGCUUAGAGAUCAUACAGAACACCGAUUGCGAAGGCAGCUUACCAAACUAUAUCUGACGUUGAGGCACGAAAGCGUGGGUAGCAAACAGG